AGCAGCCGCGGUAAUUCCAGCUCCAAUAGCGUAUAUUAAAGUUGUUGCAGUUAAAAAGCUCGUAGUUGAAUUUCGGGAUCAGCGCGUCGGUCGUGCCUCCGGUAUGCACUGGCGCCGCUGGUUUCUCCCUUCUGAGGAACCGUGAUGUCAUUAAUUUGGUGUUGCGGGAAAUCAGGACUGUUACUUUGAAAAAUUAGAGUGUUUAAAGCGGGCACGCGCUUGAAUACAUUAGCAUGGAAUAACGAAAUAGGACGUUCGAUCUUAUUUUGUUGGUUUCUAGGAUUGACGUAAUGAUUAAUAGGGAUAGUUGGGGGCAUUAGUAUUCAAUUGUCAGAGGCGAAAUUCUUGGAUUUAUUGAAGACUAACUACUGCGAAAGCAUUUGCCAAGGAUGUUUUCAUUAAUCAAGAACGAAAGUUAGGGGAUCGAAGACGAUCAGAUACCGUCGUAGUCUUAACCAUAAACUAUGCCGACUAGGGAUCGGAUGAUGUUAAUUUUUUAAUGACUCAUUCGGCGCCUUAA
rnacentral:rRNA from 1 species